AUUGAACGCUGGCGGGAGGCUUAACACAUGCAAGUCGAGCGAGCGGCGGACGGGUGAGUAAUGUAUCGGAACCUGCCCGGUAGCGGGGGAUAACUACUGGAAACGGUGGCUAAUACCGCAUACUAUCGGAUGAACCCAUAUGGGAUUAGCUAGUAGGUGGGGUAAAGGCUCACCUAGGCGACGAUCCGUAGCUGGUUUGAGAGGAUGACCAGCCACACUGGGACUGAGACACGGCCCAGACUCCUACGGGAGGCAGCAGUGGGGAAUAUUGCACAAUGGGCGCAAGCCUGAUGCAGCCAUGCCGCGUGUAUGAUGAAGGCCUUCGGGUUGUAAAGUACUUUUAGCGGGGAGGCGUUACCCGCAGAAGAAGCACCGGCUAACUCCGUGCCAGCAGCCGCGGUAAUAC
rnacentral:rRNA from 1 species